GCCGCCGCUUCCGGGUGCGGCCGUGCGCGCCGUGCCGUGCCGUGCCGUGCCGUGCCGUGCCGUGCCGUGCCGUGCCCUCGGCCUCGAUUCGCAGUUCCGGGGCGGCGGGGCCGAGGUUCUCGGUGUUCUCCAGACCCGGCGCGGCCCGCCGGGCUCUGAGAUGCCCCGUCCCUCGUUGCCGGGCCUGGCACAGCGCGAGGCGCUGCUGGUUGCGGGUGCCAGCGCUGCCCCGCGGGAUGGACUUUCUGCCGCUCCUGCUGCUCUACCUGUGCCUCGUGCUUGCCGUCGCCGCGCUGUACUGCAGCCACGCGGGGAGCGGGGGCGGCCGCCUGGGCAGGGCUGCCCGCACUGCGGGCCAGGUGCUGUCAUUCGUAAUCCCCACUCGGCUCCAGAGGCUGACACAGAAGGUGCUCCACAGGCUCUUUCACACACGAAGUUAUUUGUUUGUCGUGCUGCACAUAGCCCUGCAAGCAGCAGUUUAUGCUGAAUACACAUGGGAAGUGUUUGUUUACUGCUGGGAGCUGGAGUUCCACCUUGUGCUGCUGCUGCUGCCCUACCUGCUGCUGGCUGGGAACAUGGGCUGCUUCAUUCUCUGCUCCCGUGCCAAUCCUGGUGUAAUAACAAAAUCAAAUCAUGCAUCACUGAUGAAGACUUAUGCAUAUGAUGGUGUAUUAUUUCAGAAAGGCGUUGUGUGCGCUACGUGCAACAUGGAAAAGCCAGCCAGAUCAAAACACUGCAGUUUUUGUGAUACCUGUGUACAUCGUUUUGAUCACCACUGUGUGUGGGUCAACAACUGCAUCGGUGCCUUCAAUGCAAAGUAUUUCUUCCUCUACCUCUUUACACUGACUGUGAUGGCUGCAACCAUUGCAACCAUCACCACAGCAUUUCUCAUCCGAGUGGUGCUGCUGUCCAAUAUGAUGCACGGGAGUUACAUUGAUGACCAAGGGCAAGAGCACGCUGUUGACAUUCUCUUUCUCAUUCAGCACCUUUUCUUGACUUUUCCUAGGAUUGUCUUCAUGCUUGGUUUUGUUAUUCUUCUCACACUUAUACUGGGUGCAUACUGCUGUUUCAACCUAUACUUGGCCUUAACCAACAGAACUUUCAAUGAGUGGUAUAAAUCCAGAAGAUACGGGCAUUCCCAUCAUCUAACACUGCAGCCCUGUGACAGACAAGUUGUCUACAAAAAUGUUUAUGCUAAAGGAGCCUGGAUGAAUUUAAAGGAAAUCUUUACACCUUCUACAGUGCUGCAAAGAAAGAAGAAAACGUGAAGAUACUAUUCUUUUCAUUGUGCUUUAUUUUUACUUUUUGUAAAAUGCACUUUGAUGCCACGGGGAACUUUGUAUGAAUAAGAAAAAAACAAUUUCAAUUAGUUGGAAACUUUUCCUAAAGGUGAUCAGACUUCCAAAAAGAAAAAGCUGGAGUCCCUGCAAGUUUGUCUGUAACACUGCUCAGACCAGCUGUGAAAGCAACAUCUUUGUCUUCUCAGACACAGCCACAGUCCGGAAGCUUGCUGAACUUGAGAUAGGUUCAGCUAAGGUACAUGUACACAAUGAACUUUAAAUGUGUAUAAAUAUAUAUAUAUGGUUACUGUUUGUGUGCUGCAUAAUAUAUGCCACAAUGUAAUUGGCAAAUGGAGUUCCUGAGUUACUUUGGUAUAUCUUACGUACAUCUUCCUGCAGGAGACCUUUGCUGUGCAGAAAGAGUAACUCACAGCUGACAGCAAUAUUCUUAUUAACAGUACCUCAGCAGAACUCUAUUUAUAAAGAUACUCAGUGAGAUGCUGUUAGAGGGCCUGGAAACAAACUUGCUGGCAUGGAGAUGCAAGCGUGGACCAAAGGCUGCGGUGAAUCUUUCUCUCUGUAUGCACAGUAGCAAGGGAAGAGCUAACAAAGAGCUGUUGUGAACUUCGAGGAAGCUUCAUCUUCUUGGGAAGUUGACAGCUGCUGAAGCUGUUUCUUGAGCUGCCCUCCUGCAUUCACAAAAUGGACCCCAUUAGAAGUAUCACAGUAAUACGGUUUUCCACUUCUGUGCUGGGAUUUCUCCAGGUGAACUCUAAAGAGCACUUUAUCAGUGGACUUAAAAAAAACCCCUCUGAUUUAACGAUCAAAGAAAGAAGUAGAUUUAUGGCUAUGAAAGUAACCUUCUGUAAUCCCUCUGCCUGGAAUGUUAGCUGUAGAUCAUUUGAAAGAUCUCCAAAAGCAGAGAUGCACAAGUCUAAGCUUGUAGGGAUUUGCUUGGGGGUGAAAACUUGUUUGUGACUCACCAAAGGACGAGGGUUUCGUAAGCACAAUGUUAAGUGCCCUGUUCUUUUCUCCUUCCAGAAGUUCUUCUGAGUGAUAACACAGCAGAAAUAAUAGGAAAAGUGUAGUAAGAACUUUAAAUAACUUUAUUUUUAAAAACGUAUUUACAUGCCUAAUCUGUACAAUAUGCAAUUAAAAAUCCAUAUAUGGUUCUAAAAAAUUAAUGUACAUUAUGGCUUUACACACCAACAGACUAGCUCUCAGAGCAGCCUGUCUGGCUUUGCAAGGGUACAAUGACUCAUUCUUUAUAGACCAGUACAUAAGGCUACUUGUCCAGGAUAUAAAAUAUUUAAAAAAAAAAAAAAUACUGCAGUACCAUGCCUUAGGA